rnacentral:rRNA from 1 species
AUUGAACGCUGGCGGCAUGCUUUACACAUGCAAGUCGGACGGCAGCACAGAGAAGCUUGCUUCUUGGGUGGCGAGUGGCGAACGGGUGAGUAACAUAUCGGAACGUACCGAGCAGUGGGGGAUAACUAAUCGAAAGAUUAGCUAAUACCGCAUAUCUUCUGAGGAAGAAAGCAGGGGACCAUUUGGCCUUGCGCUGUUUGAGCGGCCGAUAUCUGAUUAGCUAGUUGGUGGGGUAAAGGCCUACCAAGGCGACGAUCAGUAGCGGGUCUGAGAGGAUGAUCCGCCACACUGGGACUGAGACACGGCCCAGACUCCUACGGGAGGCAGCAGUGGGGAAUUUUGGACAAUGGGCGCAAGCCUGAUCCAGCCAUGCCGCGUGUCUGAAGAAGGCCUUCGGGUUGUAAAGGACUUUUGUCAGGGAAGAAAAGGGCGGGGUUAAUACCCCUGUCUGAUGACGGUACCUGAAGAAUAAGCACCGGCUAACUACGUGC